UAUCUAGUAGAACAUUUCUGCAUAGACUAGACCAUAGAAACUAGUGUAUGGAAAUGCUUCUGCUGCAUG
rnacentral:pre_miRNA from 9 species